rnacentral:rRNA from 1 species
CCUGGUAGUCCACGCCGUAAACGAUGUCGAUUUGGAGGUUGUGCCCUUGAGGCGUGGCUUCCGGAGCUAACGCGUUAAAUCGACCGCCUGGGGAGUACGGCCGCAAGGUUAAAACUCAAAUGAAUUGACGGGGGCCCGCACAAGCGGUGGAGCAUGUGGUUUAAUUCGAUGCAACGCGAAGAACCUUACCUGGUCUUGACAUCCACAGAACUUUCCAGAGAUGGAUUGGUGCCUUCGGGAACUGUGAGACAGGUGCUGCAUGGCUGUCGUCAGCUCGUGUUGUGAAAUGUUGGGUUAAGUCCCGCAACGAGCGCAACCCUUAUCCUUUGUUGCCAGCGGUCCGGCCGGGAACUCAAAGGAGACUGCCAGUGAUAAACUGGAGGAAGGUGGGGAUGACGUCAAGUCAUCAUGCCCUUACGACCAGGGCUACACACGUGCUAC